rnacentral:rRNA from 1 species
CUACGGGGUGCAGCAGUCGAGAAUCUUCGGCAAUGGACGAAAGUCUGACCGAGCGACGCCGCGUGCGGGAUGAAGGCCUUCGGGUUGUAAACCGCUGUCAGAGGGAAGGAAAUUUUGACCGAUCCUCAAAGGAAGUACGGGCUAAGUUCGUGCCAGCAGCCGCGGUAAGACGAACCGUACAAACGUUAUUCGGAAUCACUGGGCUUAAAGGGUGCGUAGGUGGUCUAUUAAGUUGGGUGUGAAAUCCCUCGGCUCAACCGAGGAACUGCGCUCAAUACUGGUAGACUUGAGGGAGAUAGAGGUGAGCGGAACUGAUGGUGGAGCGGUGAAAUGCGUUGAUAUCAUCGGGAACACCUGUGGCGAAAGCGGCUCACUGGAUCUCUUCUGACACUGAGGCACGAAAGCUAGGGGAGCGAACGGGAUUAGAUACCCGUGUAGUC